UACGAGGGGGGCAAGCGUUGUUCGGAAUUAUUGGGCGUAAAGGGCGCGUAGGCGGUGCGGUAAGUCACCUGUGAAACCUCUAGGCUCAACCUAGAGCCUGCAGGCGAAACUGCCGUGCUUGAGGGUGGGAGAGGUGCGUGGAAUUCCCGGUGUAGCGGUGAAAUGCGUUGAUAUCCAUAGGAACUCCGGUGGCGAAAGCGGUGUGCUGGAUCCUUUCUGACGCUGAUGCGCGAAAGCCAGGGGAGCAAACGGG
rnacentral:rRNA from 1 species